CACGUAUUUAGCCGGAGCUUCUUUUUCAGGUACCGUCACUUUCUUCCCUGCUGAUAGAGCUUUACAUAACGAAUUACUUCUUCACUCACGCGGCGUCGCUGCAUCAGAGUUCUCUCCAUUGUGCAAUAUUCCCCACUGCUGCCUCCCGUAGGAGUCUGGGCCGUGUCUCAGUCCCAAUGUGGCCGUCCACCCUCUCAGGCCGGCUACUGAUCGUCGCCUUGGUGUGCUUUUACCACUCCAACUAGCUAAUCAGACGCGGGUCCAUCUCAUACCAGAUUUCUCCUUUUCUACACAAAAACAUGCGUCUUCGUGCGCUUAUGCGGUUUACCACCAGUUUCCCGAUGCUAUCCCCCUGUAUGAGGCAGGUUGCUCACGCGUUACUCACCCGUCCGCCACUAAGAUACUUCUCUUUCACCUCGAAAGCUUCAAGCAAUAUCUCCGUUCGACUUGCAUGUGUUAGCACGCCGCCAGCGUUCAU
rnacentral:rRNA from 1 species